rnacentral:rRNA from 1 species
GUGGGGAAUCUUAGACAAUGGGGGAAACCCUGAUCUAGCCAUGCCGCGUGAGCGAUGAAGGCCUUAGGGUUGUAAAGCUCUUUCAGCUGGGAAGAUAAUGACGGUACCAGCAGAAGAAGCCCCGGCUAACUCCGUGCCAGCAGCCGCGGUAAUACGGAGGGGGCUAGCGUUGUUCGGAAUUACUGGGCGUAAAGCGCGCGUAGGCGGACCAGAAAGUUGGAGGUGAAAUCCCAGAGCUCAACCUUGGAACUGCCUUCAAAACUCCUGGUCUGGAGUUCGAGAGAGGUGAGUGGAAUUCCGAGUGUAGAGGUGAAAGUCGUAGAUAUUCGGAGGAACACCAGUGGCGAAGGCGGCUCACUGGCUCGAUACUGACGCUGAGGUGCGAAAGCGUGGGGAGCAAACAGGAUUAGAAACCCGUGUAGUCC